AUGAAAGGGAUGGAUACAUUGCGUUUCAAGGAGACAGCUAGGGUUCAAGAUUGGAAAAAUUUCCUCUCUUCUUCCUCAAUCUGCGGUGCACCUCACUUCUUUUUCUCUGAUCGAAAUCAAAUAGAACGUCGCCGCUCCUCGACUCGGAUUACAUCCCUAACUCGCACUCUCCUCACCUCAGUCCCGAACCCCUUUCUGUCUCACUCUCUCCGAUUUCGAUUUGUCUUCAACGUCAAUAACGCCUCAGUUUUGUGGAUUCACUCCUUCUCAACGUUGUAA